rnacentral:rRNA from 1 species
GACGAACGCUGGCGGCGCGCUUAACACAUGCAAGUCGAACGGAAAGGCCUGCUUUCCCUUGUGGAUUGCGGGUACUCGAGUGGCGAACGGGUGAGUAACACGUGAGUGAUCUGCCCCCAACUUGGGUAUAAGCCUGGGAAACUGGGUCUAAUUCCCGAUAGGACUGCAGGGUGGUGCCUGUGGUGGCAAACGAUUUUCUAGUGGUUGGGGAUGAGCUCGCGGCCUAUCAGCUUGUUGGUGGGGUAAUGGCCUACCAAGGCGGCGACGGGUAGCCGGCCUGGGAGAGUGGACGGCCACAUUGGGACUGAGAUACGGCCCAGACUCCUACGGGAGGCAGCAGUGGGGAAUAUUGCACAAUGGGCGGAAGACUGAGGCAGCGACGCCGCGUGGGGGAUGACGGCCUUCGGGUUGUAAACUCCUUUCGACCGCGAGGAAGCCACCUGGUUGGAAGGGUGGUGACGGUAGUGGUAGAAGAAGCACCGGCUAACUACGUG